rnacentral:rRNA from 1 species
UGUUUCGGCAAGGGGGUCAUCCCGACUUACCAACCCGAUGCAAACUGCGAAUACCGGAGAAUGUUAUCACGGGAGACACACGGCGGGUGCUAACGUCCGUCGUGAAGAGGGAAACAACCCAGACCGCCAGCUAAGGUCCCAAAGUCAUGGUUAAGUGGGAAACGAUGUGGGAAGGCCCAGACAGCCAGGAUGUUGGCUUAGAAGCAGCCAUCAUUUAAAGAAAGCGUAAUAGCUCACUGGUCGAGUCGGCCUGCGCGGAAGAUGUAACGGGGCUAAACCAUGCACCGAAGCUGCGGCAGCGACGCUUAUGCGUUGUUGGGUAGGGGAGCGUUCUGUAAGCCUGCGAAGGUGUACUGUGAGGUAUGCUGGAGGUAUCAGAAGUGCGAAUGCUGACAUAAGUAACGAUAAAGCGGGUGAAAAGCCCGCUCGCCGGAAGACCAAGGGUUCCUGUCCAACGUUAAUCGGGGCAGGGUGAGUCGACCCCUAAGGCGAGGCCGAAAGGCGUAGUCGAUGGGAAACAGGUUAAUAUUCCUGUACUUGGUGUUACUGCGAAGGGGGGACGGAGAAGGCUAUGUUGGCCGGGCGACGGUUGUCCCGGUUUAAGCGUGUAGGCUGAUUUUCCAGGCAAAUCCGGAAAAUCAAGGCUGAGGCGUGAUGACGAGGCACUACGGUGCUGAAGCAACAAAUGCCCUGCUUCCAGGAAAAGCCUCUAAGCAUCAGGUAACAUCAAAUCGUACCCCAAACCGACACAGGUGGUCAGGUAGAGAAUACCAAGGCGCUUGAGAGAACUCGGGUGAAGGAACUAGGCAAAAUGGUGCCGUAACUUCGGGAGAAGGCACGCUGAUACGUAGGUGAAGUCCCUCGCGGAUGGAGCUGAAAUCAGUCGAAGAUACCAGCUGGCUGCAACUGUUUAUUAAAAACACAGCACUGUGCAAACACGAAAGUGGACGUAUACGGUGUGACGCCUGCCCGGUGCCGGAAGGUUAAUUGAUGGGGUUAGCGGUAACGCGAAGCUCUUGAUCGAAGCCCCGGUAAACGGCGGCCGUAACUAUAACGGUCCUAAGGUAGCGAAAUUCCUUGUCGGGUAAGUUCCGACCUGCACGAAUGGCGUAAUGAUGGCCAGGCUGUCUCCACCCGAGACUCAGUGAAAUUGAACUCGCUGUGAAGAUGCAGUGUACCCGCGGCAAGACGGAAAGACCCCGUGAACCUUUACUAUAGCUUGACACUGAACAUUGAGCCUUGAUGUGUAGGAUAGGUGGGAGGCUUUGAAGUGUGGACGCCAGUCUGCAUGGAGCCGACCUUGAAAUACCACCCUUUAAUGUUU